CUGAGCAUGCUCGGUGGGGCGGGUCUGGGGUCCGGAAGCUCCGGCGACUCCGCGGCGCUCGCGGCUUUGGGGUCGCCAGUCCCGAGCGGGCGAUGGGUCUGGCGGGACCCCUGGGGCGCGCCACGUGGGUGCUUGCCGGGGGCCUCCUGGCCGCUGCCCUGGCGCUGCUCACUGGUCCUGGGGGCCGAGGCCGGCUCCCUGCGGGCCCAAGUCCCCUCCGGCGCCCCCUCGGCGCGCAGCCUCCCCCUGAUCCUCACGAGCGGACAGCGCAGGACUUGCCCCAUGUGAUUCAGCCCGAGGUGGAAAGCUCUCACUUUCACACUUCAGUGGCAGCACCGUUUGGAAUGAACGUCAACAGGACAGUUGAAGUCUUUAACCCCCUCCCGACUUCUGCAGCCUCUCGUGGGCCGUGGGCUCAGUCCGUAUUUGCUUCUCUACUCUCGUGGCCCAAGAGGACCUUGUUUAAGAGAGAGUCCCCUCUAACACACCACCUGUAUGGAGACAUUUCAAGAGAUAUUCAAGGCACUUUUGAGAAUGGAGUCGUUUUUCAGAAAUGUGCGGUGGUGUCUGGGCAGAGCGCGCUGCAGACGGCUCAGGUGCGUCUGCUCGUGAACAACACCAAGACGCCCGGGGCGGCCAACCUCUCCGAUCUGCUCCUGCUGGACAACAUCACUGGCCUCACCGUUAGCGGGUCGACUGGAAACAAGACCUCGGAAGGAUUCCAGGCUUUCAGAAGGAAGUUUCUGCAAGUCGGAGACUCCUUCUCGGUCAACUACACAGCCUCGCUCAAGGCCAGAGACGUUGGGAGUGGAGAAAUCCUGAUGCUUCCUGCCCGGCUCACCUUCCAGAGUUCAUCACCGAACAGAACACAGCUAAAAGCCCUUUUCACCAUAAUAGCAGAAGAAAAGAUAAAGGUUCUACCAGACCACGGUCUGCAUGCGGCCGGGUUCUUCACCGCCUUCAUUGGCUCCCUCGUGCUGACCUGGGUGGCGCUUUUCUUCCUGGUUCGGUGUGAGUGUUUGAGGGGAAGCAGGCUCAGCAGACGUCAGGUUCAGCAUCACGAGAGCAGGUUGGAACACUCCCAGUUCAUCUCAGCUGAUGGCGUGAAUGAGGAUCUUGCUCUAAAUGACCAAAUGGUAGACAUUCUGUCUUCAGAGGACCCCGGGAGCAUGCUUCAAGCCUUAGAGGAGUUGGAGAUUGCAACCCUGAACCGGGCAGACUCGGACCUGGAGGCUUGUCGAACCCAGAUCAGCAAAGAUAUCAUUGCCCUUCUGCUGAAAAAUCUGACCAGCAGCGGCCACCUCUCGCCUCAGGCAGAGAGGAGGAUGGCCGCUGUUUUCAAAAAGCAGUUUCUGUUGCUGGAAAAGGAAAUACAAGAGGAGUAUGAUCGGAAGAUGGUGGCGUUGACAGCUGAGUGCGACCUGGAAACAAGAAAGAAGACAGAAAACCAGUACCAGAGGGAGAUGGCGGCAAUGGAGGAAGCAGAAGAGUUGCUGAAACGUGUUAGCGAGAGGUCGGCUGUCGAGUGCAGCGACCUCCUGAGGGCCCUGCACGGCCUGGAGCAGGAGCAGCUGCGGCGGUCUCUCGCCCUGCAGCAGGAGGAGGACGUGGCAAAGGCGCACAGGCAGCUGGCUAUUUUUCAGAGAAACGAACUGCACAGUAUCUUCUUUACCCAGAUAAAAAGUGCUAUUUUCAAAGGGGAACUGAAGCCAGAGGCGGCUAAAAUGCUGCUGCAGGAUUACUCUAAAAUACAGGAGAACGUAGAAGAGUUAAUGGACUUUUUCCAGGCUAGUAAGAGGUAUCAUCUGAGUAAAAGAUUCGGCCACAGGGAGUGCCUGGUCCAGAACAUGCAGUCGUCAGAGACGCGUGUGCAGGGGCUCCUGAGCGCCGCUGCCGCCCAGCUGAGCCUGCUCAUCCAGAAGCACGAGAGAGCAGGGUACCUGGAGGAACACCAGAUGGAAGUGCUGUUGGAGCGGGCUCAGACAGAAGUCUUUUCCAUAAAACAGAAGUUGGACAAUGACUUAAAGCGGGAAAAGAGAAAGCUCCACCAGAAAUUAAUAAUUAAGAGAAGACGAGAGAUGCUGCAAAAGCACAAGGAGCAGCGCAAGGAGCAGCUGUCCGUUGGGGAAGCCUUCCGAGCUGCCGAGGACCUGGGCCAGUACCUGGGCCAGUGGAGGAGCCUGAUGGCGGAGCACAGUGCCGCCCUGGAGGAGCUGCAGGAGCACCUGGACCAGGCGGCCCUGGACGACCUCAGGGCCCUGACCCUCUCCCUGUCCGAGAGAGCCGCCGAGGAGCUGCGGCGCCUGCAGAACUCGGUGAUGACCCAGGAGCUGCUGAAGCGCAGCGUGCCCUGGCUCUUCCUGCAGCAGAUCCUGGAGGAGCACGGCAAGGACAUGGCGGCCAGGGCCGAGCAGCUCGAGGUGGAGGAGCGGGACAGGGGCCAGGAGGGCAUCCAGAGCGUGAGGCAGAGACUGAAGGACGACGCUCCGGAGGUCUCGACGGACGAGCAGGUGGAGCUGAGACACUGGGAGCGCUUCAUCUUUCUGAAGCUCAGCUCCUCGGCCUUCUCGCUGUCCGAGGAGGAGCUGCUGAGGAUGAGGCAGGAGGUGCACGGCUGCUUCGCGCAGAUGGACAGGAGCUUGGCCCUCCCCAAAAUCCGGGCCCGGGUUCUGCUGCAGCGGCUCCAGACUGCUUGGCGAGAGGCAGAGUUCCUGAAACUGGACCAGGCCCUGGCUGCCCCCGAGCUGCAGCAACAGUCCAAGGCGAGAAAGCCGCGCUCCAAAAGCAAGAGCAAGAUAGAGCUUUUGAAGAAGUGCCUUGAAGAUAAAAUCCAGCUGUUUGACGAGCAGGCCCCUGAAGACCUGGCUGAGAAGGUCCGAGGAGAAUUGCUGCGGGAGAGAGUGCAGCAGCUGGAGGCCCAGGAGGGUCGCUUUGCAGAGUCCCUCGUCUCCCUGCAGUUCCAGAAGGCGGCCAGGAUGGCCAAGACCCUGUGGGCAUACACCGCCCUCCUGAGCAUCCAGGACCUGCUUCUGGAGGAGCUGAGUGCGUCGGAGACCCUGACAAAGGCAGCCUGUGCACAGAUCCUGGAGUCGCACAGCCCGGAGCUCCAGGAGCUGGAGAGGAAGCUGGAAGAUGAGCUGGCACUCCAGGAGGCAGCCCAGCUGCAGCAGGCCCUGGCGAGUCAGCAGCAGCAGGCAGGCGCUGGGCCUGGGCUCCUGCACGAGCCCGAGGAGGCGGAUUCCGAGAGGCAGGUCUCGGCGGUCCUGCGGCGAGCCCUGAGCAGGAGCCAGAAGCUGCUGGAGCAGCACGAGCAGAGUUGGAGAGAAGAGCAAGAGAACAGCGUUGUGCUUGAAGAUUUGCUGGAGAACAUGGAGACCGACACCUUUGUGACCCUGUACAGCCAGGAGCUGAGACUGGCGUCCUACCUGGCAAAGCUGACGAUGGUGCCCGGGGCCACCCUGCGCCGGCUCCUGAGCGUGGCUCUGCCCGCAGCCUCACAGCCCGAGCUGCUGGCCAUGCUGGAUUCCGUCAGCCAGAAGCAUCACGACCACGCGGCGGAGAGUGAUGGUGGCGGGGAGCAGGCGGACCUGGGCAGGAGGCGGUGAGCGUCGUGUCCGGCUGCCCUGGGACACAGGGAGUGAGGGCCCAGCAUGAGGACGGGGGAGGAGGGAAGAAGGACCCCCCCCAGGCGCAUGUACACAUGCCUCCCCCAGUUGGAACGUCACUGCUCAGGGAGCAAACAGCAUCCAGAGAGUGGCCACAAGUCCCUUUUUCAGUCAUGGCGGGCCCAAGUAUUUUGUUCACGCUUUCUCCUUUUGUCACCAAUUUAGUUUUCAAGUAGAAUCUUAAGAGAGUAAGUUUCCCCGGGCUGUAAAUAUACCAUGUACACACAUUAAAGAAAGUGUAAAAAAUACAUAAAAGGAAAAAGAAGAAAAGGAAACAUCUAUGACUCUACCAGCUGGGGAACACGGCUGUUAGCAUCUUGUUACAAUUCCUCCUCCAGAAUGUGUUUCUCUGCCUGGUUUUAUGAGCGCGUGUAUUGUGCAUGUGUGAACAUUUGUGUGUGAUGGAUAGUCGUGAGUAUCUGUGUGUGUGUGGUAACCCCAGCGUGUACAACCUGGGGUUUUUCAGAACCUUAGAGCAGAAGCCAGCUUGCUGAUGACCUUUCAGCUCUUGUCCGGGUGUAAAUGUCUUUGUAUACAAUAAUUCUCACACUAUUUAGACUAUAUUUCUGCUAUUUUUAUUAACAAUUUAAACUUCAUACUUUUCACAGUUACUGAAACACCUCCAAAGAUAUUAUUUUUAACAGCUGCCUAAUAUUCCCCUGGGGUGUAUAGCAUACUGCAUGUAGCUGUGACCCUACUGCUGGACAUUUAGUUUGGGUUCAUUUUUUUGCUCUAUUGUGGCUAAUGCUGUGUAGAUGCUUUCCUUUAGGAUCCAGCUCCAGGUGUGGCUGUGUUCAGUAACGGCCAUUUAUAAGGAGGGGCAGGAAGCGGGGUGGAGUGAGGUGGGUCUGGGGAGCAGCCAGUGGUGCCGUCUGAAAACAGCGUUUGUGGAGGUCUAGGUGACAAGGAAAGCCACGAGCAGACCUGACGUGUUGAAGCUGGUGUCCACCACCUGGACCACGAGGGUGGGGUGGGCAUCCGGGAGCCCAGGAGCCUGCCAAAAUGGCGCGAUGUCCCGAGAGGCGUGCAUGUACUUUAUUUUUCCUGAGAAAAGGGGCAGUAUCUUAUCAGAGUCGUGACGGGGUCCCUGACUCAAAAAGAGUUAGACUCCUGGGAGGGAAAGCCUGGUCCAGCUGGAAGAGGGUCCAUCUCCACCACCAGGAGGGCAGUGUGAACCAGCCAAGGCAGAGUGAAACACCAGGGCUGGUGGCAAGCCUUAGAAAGCAAACUGCGAGGAGAACUGACAAGCAGAGGACUGGAGAAGAUGCUGUGGGCUCACGCAAGGAAGGAGAGCAUAUUAAAGAAGACGUGUCCCCCUCUCAGGGAGAGGAUG